rnacentral:rRNA from 1 species
GAUGAACGCUGGCGGCGUGCCUAAUACAUGCAAGUCGAGCGAACAGACGAGGAGCUUGCUCCUCUGACGUUAGCGGCGGACGGGUGAGUAACACGUGGAUAACCUACCUAUAAGACUGGGAUAACUUCGGGAAACCGGAGCUAAUACCGGAUAACAUGUUGAACCGCAUGGUUCAACAGUGAAAGACGGUCUUGCUGUCACUUAUAGAUGGAUCCGCGCCGCAUUAGCUAGUUGGUAAGGUAACGGCUUACCAAGGCAACGAUGCGUAGCCGACCUGAGAGGGUGAUCGGCCACACUGGAACUGAGACACGGUCCAGACUCCCACGGGAGGCAGCAGUAGGGAAUCUUCCGCAAUGGGCGAAAGCCUGACGGAGCAACGCCGCGUGAGUGAAGAAGGUCUUCGGAUCGUAAAACUCUGUUAUUAGGGAAGAACAAAUGUGUAAGUAACUAUGCACGUCUUGACGGUACCUAAUCAGAAAGCCACGGCUAACUACGUG